GGAGACGUAUCGAAGCGGUCAUAACGGGGCUGACUCGAAAUCAGUUAGGGAGCAAUCCCCCGCGGGUUCGAAUCCCGCCGUCUCCGCCA
rnacentral:tRNA from 1 species